GCCUCAUUAACUCAGCGGUUAGAGCACUGGUCUAGCAAACCAGGGUUCCAAAAUUCAAAUCUUUGAUCUGGCU